GCAGAUCAGUGUGAAGUGGGACUCAGUUUCCCAGUUGGCACUUGGCAUAAGAACCGGACUAUUGUGAGCCUUUUUGGUGAACAAGCUUAAUGCAGAACAUCAUCCUCCCUUGUGAAUGACAGAAGUGAAUUAUAGGGAAACCCAAAUGUUCUGCCACAGAAUAUCAUGACCAUGGCUUCCUU